UACGUAGGGGGCGAGCGUUGUCCGGAGUUACUGGGCGUAAAGCGCACGCAGGCGGUCUGCUAAGUUUGGAGUGACAGUUGGUGGCUUAACUGCCAAAGUGCUUCGAAAACUGACAGACUUGAGGGCUUCAGAGGGACACGGAAUUCCGGGUGGAGUGGUGAAAUGCGUAGAGAUCCGGAGGAACACCAAAGGCGAAGGCAGUGUCCUGGACAAUUGCUGACGCUCAGGCACGAAAGCGUGGGGAGCAAAAGGG
rnacentral:rRNA from 1 species